rnacentral:snRNA from 1 species
CUCACUCCUCGGCCUUUUGGCCAAGAUCAAAUGUAGUAUCUGUUCUUAUCAGUAAAACAAAGAUAGCUAGCGACAUAAUUUAUGUGUGGGGGUCUUGGAAAGAGGCUGCUGUGAUGACACAGAUGCUACUGACUCAUGCCCAACUAUU